AAGACUAUAGACCUGCGGAGUACCUGCGGAAGGAUCAUUACCGAGUGCGGGCCCCUUGGGGUCCAACCUCCCACCCGUGUCUAUUGUACCUUGUUGCUUCGGCGGGCCUGCCGCCCGCGGCCGCCCGGAGGCAUCUGUCUCUGGGCGCGUGCCCGCCGAAGACCCCUCCGAACGCUGCCUGAAGGUUGCAGUCUGAGUGUCAUAAAAAAUCGUUAAAACUUUCAACAAUGGAUCUCUAGA
rnacentral:misc_RNA from 1 species